GCCCGUCACACCAUGGGAGUGGGUUGCUCCAGAAGUAGCUAGUCUAACCGCAAGGGGGACGGUUACCACGGAGUGAUUCAUGACUGGGGUGAAGUCGUAACAAGGUAGCCGUAGGGGAACCUGCGGCUGGAUCACCUCCUUA
rnacentral:rRNA from 1 species